rnacentral:misc_RNA from 1 species
GUGGGGAAUGAGGACUAUGAACGGCAGAGGAGUGUGAUGGAUUUUCUUAAGAGUACUGAUGCUUGGAAGAAGUCUGGUGGGAGAGACCAUGUUUUUGUUCUCACUGGUAAUGUUAAAACUUGAAGCAUUCUUUGACAGACCCAGUUGCGAUGUGGCAUGUCAAAGCAGAGAUAGCUCCGGCUGUUCUGCUUGUGGUCGAUUUUGGCGGUUGGUUCAGGCUUGACGCAAAAUCAUCUAACAGUUCCUCGCCAGAUAUGAUUCAGC